UCCCAGUUUGGAAUCGCUAGUCUCAAGCACAUCUGAAAUCAUCACUGCACCGCCCACACAAGGAUCACCAAGAGCUUCAAGGGCUGGCACUCCUCUGAUGCUCUUGCUUGUGAUAAGUUUGAGUCAACACAGGAAGAACAAGAUGAACCAUCUGCAAGACGACGAGUCACGAGUGACAUGAAGCUCUUCACUCCAGUGGAGGGCGAGACUGGGAAACCGUAAACUGGAAAAGAGAUGAGAUUUAG